CAUGUAGGCGGCUUAAUAAGUCGAGCGUGAAAAUGCGGGGCUCAACCCCGUAUGGCGCUGGAAACUGUUAGGCCUGAGUGCAGGAGAGGAAAGGGGAAUUCCCAGUGUAGCGGUGAAAUGCGUAGAUAUUGGGAGGAACACCAGUGGCGAAGGCGCCUUCUGGACUGUGUCUGACGCUGAGAUGCGAAAGCCAGGGUAGCGAACG
rnacentral:rRNA from 1 species